rnacentral:SRP_RNA from 2 species
GCCGGGUGUGGUGGCGGGCACCUGUAAUCCCAGCUACUCAGGAGGCUGAGGCAGGAGAAUUGCUUGAACCCAGGAGGUGGAGGUUGCAGUGAGUGGAGAUCGUGCCACCACACUCCAGCCUGGGUGACAGAGCGAGACUCCGUCUCAA